GCCUGUGUGGUGUAGUGGUUAGAGCGUUUGACUAGAACCUGGGAGACCAGGGUUCAAAUCCCCACUCAGCCA